UACGUAGGUGGCAAGCGUUGUCCGGAUUUACUGGGUGUAAAGGGCGUGUAGGCGGGAUUGCAGGUCAGAUGUGAAAUACCCGGGCUUAACCCGGGAGCUGCAUUUGAAACCGCAGUUCUUGAGUGCUGGAGAGGAAAGCGGAAUUCCUAGUGUAGCGGUGAAAUGCGUAGAUAUUAGGAGGAACACCAGUGGCGAAGGCGGCUUUCUGGACAGUAACUGACGCUGAGGCGCGAAAGCGUGGGUAGCAAAC
rnacentral:rRNA from 1 species